rnacentral:lncRNA from 1 species
UACUAUCCACAAGGAUAGCAUUAUUUAAGUAUGAUCAUAUGGGAUUGAAGGGUUAACUUAAUUUGAACACUAUAGUUUGUUGUGCUAUCUACAAGAUUAUAAGUGAUCUAGAGGCAAGAGAAAAAUAUGUUGAGAGUUGUAUGAAGUACAAUUGCUAAAGAGUUACCUAAUCUUGAACUCAUGAAUGCUUGUUGUGCUAUCCACAAGGUGUUUGUGAGGAAUAGAGAUCUCAACUCUACUUAGAAAUAUAAAGAUGUUUCUCAUUU